GGACAAUCCCGAAUGCUUUUAUAUAGAAGGAUAAGAGACAAAGCAUUUAAUUUCUCCAUCGUCUUGUGUCUUUUGGGGCAAAUCCUUGCAGCUACAUCUUACUGUACUUGAUUAUCCCAUUGUGCACUGCCCAGAAAAUUGGUUCAUGAAGCAGUAAUUUCCAGAAAACAGUGCAAAAAGUCUGAUGUCAGAUCAGAAGAGCCCUGCAGGUGAUACAUAAUUGACUAAUAUAAAAUGCCUGCCACAAUGCUUCAUUAACACAAAGAGCUCUGAAUGUUGCUGCUGGCAAUCGAUCCAAAACACAAGUUAAUGAAAUACCAGCAGGAUCCGUACACAGGUAGGAAGUCACUGUCAUGGGCUGCUGCACCAGCACAGGUGGGCAAUCCUAUGUCGGCAAGUCAAGCUGGGCAUGUGCGGAAAACCCUCCAUCCGCAAACUGUUUAAUGCUUCAUGAAGUCUUCCCAGCUGCUUGAGCACAAACAGAAAAGAACCAGUGCAUCUGCCUGUCACUCCUACCGAUGCUUUAAGUUGUAACAAAUAAGUUAAAUGAUCUUCCUAACAGUAAUAGUAUAAAAUGCAAGAAAAGAAACAAAAGGUUAUCUACAUAUGAAAUACUAUGUGUCAUGUAAGCCAUUAUGCAUAAAGUAUUUAUCUUUCACAAAACUAACUUCACAGCUGCAUAAGCUGCAGAUUAUAGUGAUUCAUUAUAUUUUACUUAAACAAUAAUUUACCAUCAAACUGCCACAUUCAUCUGGUAUCUGUAAUGGUUGGUUGCAAUAACAAAAUUUGCCUUUAACUUAUUGUAUUCCUUAACAUUUGUCAUACCGGAAUAGCUUUGCAAGUCCUAUUUCAUUUAAAUUAUUACAGGCAGACAUGCAAAGAAGCAAAGAAGGGAAUUAUUGAAAAAGUUUUAUUUAGCUUAUGUUAAAUGGCAGUGUGGGAAUAUAAGAUGUGUGUGUGUGUGAGUGAGAGCGGUCCCUGUGAUAGACUAGAGUUCUCUCCAGGCCUGUUUUCAGCCUUUAGCUCAAGCCUGUUUGGAUAUCCCACAACCCUGAAAUAGACUGAGAAGAUUCAAGAACCUCCCUACCAAUUUUCAUUGAGAGCUACAGCACUUGCACAACUGUCAAACACACCUGAAUGUUAACAUCAUACGUACCUUUUCUACCUUGCUAUUAAAUGCCAUUGUACCCUUGAAGUGAAAAUGGACAUAUGUGACAUCCUUCUGGACAAAUGGUUGACCCGUCUAACUAUAGGCACACCUUGGCUUUAAGAACCAAAAAUAAUAUUUUUUGUGAGUGUGGGGUUUAUUCUUCAGGUAUAUUUUCAUAUUCUCAUUUUCCAUCUACAGGUGUUAUGAGAACCCCUUGUACAUAUAGGCAAAGAACCUUAAACUGAGCUUUUAUUUUACUGGAUUUAACUUUAAAUGUCUUCUUGGAUUAAUGGAGUGGUGACACCUUUUGAAGUUCUAAAAUAAGUUAUGCAUUACAACAUUAAAGUGUUUACUCAUGUUUUGCUUAUAUUGGAUACAGAGCAAGGGAAGGCCAACAGAAGGAAAUAAACACAAACGGAAAGACAGUGGGAAUAUCAAAUCAACACAAACCAAUAAUACAAUUAUAAAAAAGUUUGUCCUGCUAAUGCUGUCCUGAAAACUAAUAAGGCCUACCUAUUACAUAUCACUAAAGUUUAAAACCAAUUCUUUACAUGUGAAUAUGUCUGUCAUUAACUUGGCAGAAUUUGAUGUGAUCCAUUUUAUACACCUAUUGUAAUCACUGGAGCUCAUUUGAAGAGCCAAAGAGCUCACCGGGAAAAAGUCAGCUAAACCAGUGAUGAAGAUGAUAAUGAGAAUGUCAGGAUUCCAUUAGAGAAUAUUUUAUUUUGCUGUUUUUCAUUUUUUGAAUUAUUACUGCUGGUAAUCUUUAUUGCUGUUGUCAGGGUUUAAUUUUGUUUUGUUUCAUUCAACAAUGUAUAUUUAUUGUUAUACAUUUUUAUUGUCAAUUGCAUAAACGCUGCCUUGUGUUAGUGGCAACCGCAACAUUGAUAAUAGCUAGAAGACCCAUUGGCAUCCCAACAUUCAAUGUCACUAGCAUCUGAACUUAGGAUCAACAAAGCCAACACUCACAAUACCUUAUCACUAAAGCAGCCUAAAGAAAAAACAAAGAAUUAUUCGAUUAGUUUGGUAACAAACUUAAAUUAGACUUUGGAAAUGAGAAUUGUGAUUAACGUUUUGCUUGUGGGAUUCAUCAGCCUUACGUGACCGACCUCAUUUUUUGAUUACACCUUUCAAUACACUUUUCAAUAAUGUCAUUUCUUUCUGGCAC